rnacentral:rRNA from 1 species
UACAGAGGUCUCAAGCGUUGUUCGGAUUCAUUGGGCGUAAAGGGUGCGUAGGUGGCGAGGUUAGUCAGGUGUGAAAUCUCGGGGCUCAACCCCGAAACUGCACUUGAUACUGCCUUGCUAGAGUACUGGAGAGGAGAUUGGAAUUUACGGUGUAGCAGUGAAAUGCGUAGAUAUAGGAAGGAACACCAGUGGCGAAGGCGACCACCUGGACUGAUACUGACACUGAGGUGCGAAAGCGUGGGGGGCAAACAGGAUUAGAAACCCCUGUAGU